rnacentral:rRNA from 1 species
CCUACGGGUGGCUGCAGUAGGGAAUCUUCCACAAUGGACGAAAGUCUGAUGGAGCAACGCCGCGUGUGUGAUGAAGGGUUUCGGGUCGUAAAACACUGUUGUAAGAGAAGAAUGACAUUGAGAGUAACUGUUCAGUGUGUGACGGUAUCUUACCAGAAAGGAACGGCUAAAUACGUGCCAGCAGCCGCGGUAAUACGUAUGUUCCAAGCGUUAUCCGGAUUUAUUGGGCGUAAAGCGAGCGCAGACGGUUAUUUAAGUCCGAUGUGAAAGCCCUGAGCUUAACUGUGGAAGUGCAUUGGAAACUGGAUAACUUGAGUGCAGUAGAGGGUAGUGGAACUCCAGGUGUAGCGGUGAAGUGCGUAGAGAUAUGGAAGAACACCAGUGGCGAAGGCGGCUCUCUGGACUAUAACUGACGUUGAGGCUCGAAAGUGUGGGGAGCAAACAGGAUUAGAUACCCGGGUAGUC